UACGUAGGUGGCAAGCGUUGUCCGGAAUUAUUGGGCGUAAAGCGCGCGCAGGCGGCCUUUUAAGUCGGAUGUGAAAGCCCCUGGCUCAACUGGGGAAGUGCACCCGAAACUGAGCAGCUUGAAUACAAAAGAGGGUCGCGGAAUUCCCGGUGUAGAGGUGAAAUUCGUAGAUAUCGGGAGGAACACCGGUGGCGAAGGCGGCGACCUGGGUUGAUAUUGACGCUGAGGCGCGAAAGCGUGGGGAGCAAACAGG
rnacentral:rRNA from 1 species